AUGAAGAACGUAGUGAAAUGCGAUACGUAAUGUGAAUUGCAGAAUUCAGUGAAUCAUCGAGUCUUUGAACGCACAUUGCGCCCCCUGGUAUUCCGGGGGGCAUGCCUGUCCGAGCGUCAUUGCUGCCCUCAAGCACGGCUUGUGUGUUGGGCCUCCGUCCUCCUCCCGGGGGACGGGCCCGAAAGGCAGCGGCGGCACCGCGUCCGGUCCUCGAGCGUAUGGGGCUUCGUCACCCGCUCUUGUAGGCCCGGCCGGCGCUUGCCGACACAUCAAUCUUUUUUCCAGGUUGACCUCGGAUCAGGUAGGGAUACCCGCUGAACUUAAGCAUAUCAAUAAGCGGAGGA
rnacentral:misc_RNA from 1 species